UCUCUGUACAGCUUCAGGACACCAUCUUUCUGAUGACAUUUCAUGUCACAGUCACUGAUGUCUGAACCUCUCCGCACAUAGACUUUUCCUGAUGAGAGUGAUAGUACUGUCAGGAUGGUGAGGACACCUGUGUGCGGUGCUCGGGGAGACAUCAGGGCGGGGGCCGUUCUCCUCCUCGCUCUGAUUUACACUGACAGGACAUGGACCUGCGG